UCAGAUAAGCUAAUAAAUUAUACCUGAGUACUAUGAAAAAAUUUUUUAAAAUUCAAAGAACCUGGCGGUGUUUUAUACCAUUUAGGGGAACCUGUCUCAUAAUCGAUGAUCCACGUUAUACCUCACUUUCUUUAGAAAAGCAGUCUGUAUAUCGUCGUUGAUAGGUAACUUUUUAAAAAAAAUAAAGUUAGCAACUGAGAUAAAUUAAACUCUGAUGUCAGAUCAAGAUGCAGCUUAUAGGAAAGAGAGGAUGGGUUACAAUUAGUAUUAAUAUAAAUGGAUUUAUUUAAUUAACUUAAAUAAAGAAAGUGGACUUAAAAGUAAAAUAAAUUAUAAAAAUAUAUUGAAUAAUGGCUCUGAAACGUGC
rnacentral:rRNA from 1 species